rnacentral:rRNA from 1 species
CAGGGGAGCAAACGGGAUUAGAUACCCCGGUAGUCCUGGCGGUAAACGGUGCACGUUUGGUGUGGGAGGAUUCGACCCCUUCCGUGCCGGAGCAAACGCGUUAAACGUGCCGCCUGGGGAGUACGGUCGCAAGAUUAAAACUCAAAGAAAUUGACGGGGACCCGCACAAGCGGUGGAGUAUGUGGCUUAAUUCGAUGCAACGCGAAGAACCUUACCUGGCCUUGACAUGCAUCUCUAAUCCGGUGAAAGCCGGUGAGUGUAGCAAUACACAAUUUGCACAGGUGCUGCAUGGCUGUCGUCAGCUCGUGUCGUGAGAUGUUGGGUUAAGUCCCGCAACGAGCGCAACUCCUGUGAACUGUUGCCAUGGAGGCGUGAGUCUCCGGCACUCUGUUCAGACUGCCCUGUUCAACGGGGAGGAAGGUGGGGACGACGUCAAGUCAGUAUGGCCCUUACGGCCAGGGCUGCACACGUACUACAAUGCCCGAAACAGAAGGAUCCGAGACCGCGAGGUGGAGGAAAUCACUAAAUUCGGGCCCAGUUCGGAUUGGAGGCUGCAACUCGCCUCCAUGAAGCCGGAAUCGCUAGUAAUGGCGCAUCAGCUACGGCGCCGUGAAUACGUUCCCGGGUCUUGUACACACCGCCCGUCACAUCAUGGGAGUCGUUUGUACCCGAAGUGCGCGCGCCAACCGCAAGGAGGCAGCGCCCUAAGGUAUGAGCGGUAACUGGGAUG